rnacentral:rRNA from 1 species
GUGAGGAAUAUUGCGCAAUGGAGGCAACUCUGACGCAGCCAUGCCGCGUGCAGGAAGAAGGCGCUACGCGUUGUAAACUGUUUUUAACCGGGAAGAAACCCCAGGACGUGUCCUGGGUUGACGGUACCGGAGGAAUAAGCACCGGCUAACUUCGUGCCAGCAGCCGCGGUAAUACGAAGGGUGCAAGCGUUAUCCGGAUUCAUUGGGUUUAAAGGGUGCGUAGGCGGAGCGUUAAGUCAGUGGUGAAAUCCUGCAGCUUAACUGUAGACUUGCCAUUGAUACUGGCGCUCUUGAGUGCGCUUGAAGUGGGCGGAAUGUGCCGUGUAGCGGUGAAAUGCUUAGAUAUGGCACAGAACACCAAUUGCGAAGGCAGCUCACUAAGGCGAUACUGACGCUGAGGCACGAAAGCGUGGGGAUCGAACAGGAUUAGAAACCCGAGUAGUCC